rnacentral:misc_RNA from 1 species
UCCGAGUUGACCCCGGCAGUCUCCUACGAGUCCCCACCAUAACGCGCUGGCAACAUAGGACAAGGGUUGCGCUCGUUGCGGGACUUAACCCAACAUCUCACGACACGAGCUGACGACAACCAUGCACCACCUGUGUUCCGAUUCCCUUUCGGGCACACCUAAAUCUCUUCAGGCUCUCGGACAUGUCAAGGGUAGGUAAGGUUUUUCGCGUUGCAUCGAAUUAAUCCACAUAAUCCACCGCUUGCGCGGGUCCCCGUCAAUUCCUUUGAGUUUUAACCUUGCGGCCGUACUCCCCAGGCGGUCGACUUCACGCGUUAGCUUCGUUACUGAGAGUGUCAAACCCCCAACAACCAGUCGACAUCGUUUAGGGCGUGGACUAC